rnacentral:rRNA from 1 species
GACGAACGCUGGCGGCGUGCUUAACACAUGCAAGUCGAACGGAAAGGCCCUGCUUGCCGGGUGCUCGAGUGGCGAACGGGUGAGUAACACGUGGGUGAUCUGCCCCUUACUUUGGGAUAAGCCUGGGAAACUGGGUCUAAUACUGGAUAGGACCAUGCUGUAGGUGGUGUGGUGGAAAGAUUAGUUUCGGUAAGGGAUGAGCUCGCGGCCUAUCAGCUUGUUGGUGGGGUAAUGGCCUACCAAGGCGUCGACGGGUAGCCGGCCUGAGGGGGUGGACGGCCACAUUGGGACUGAGAAACGGCCCAGACUCCUACGGGAGGCAGCAGUGGGGAAAAUUGCACAAUGGGCGCAAGCCUGAUGCAGCGACGCCGCGUGGGGGAUGACGGCCUUCGGGUUGUAAACUCCUUUCAGCCAUGACGAAGCCCUUGUGGUGACGGUAGUGGUAGAAGAAGCACCGGCUAACUACGUG